AACGCACAUUGCGCUUCCUGGUAUUCCGGGGAGCAUGCCCGUUUCAGAAUCAUUAAAAUCUCACAAGUUCAUAGUAGGCCUCCGGGCUUCAAUGAGCUUGUGGAUUUGGAUGAUUUGCUCUAAGCAAUCGUCUUAAAUUGAUUGUAUGUGCGCCAUGUUUUUAGCAUUGGUUAUCUGAAAGUGCAACAGAUUUAUCUAUUCUCUUUUGGUAAACAAUGCCACGAGCAUCAGUGUAGAUACUCACUUUUAUUAAGAGACGUUGAUUGAAUAAUCACCGCUCUGAUAACUUGGUCUGAAAUCGGGCAAGAAAACCCGCUGAACUUAA
rnacentral:misc_RNA from 1 species